UGUUUCAAAUGCCAGAAAGUAUUUGUUAGGAAAACAAAUACUGUGUCCUUGUGACACACCGGCACCGAUUCCCUGCCGCCUCCUAUGAAGAGGCACUGUGGCUCUUAUCACAGCACACCUUCGGACGGAGGAGGCAAAUCGAGACCCCGUAAGAAGGGAGUGGGCCAGGACGUGCGGGGAAUACACAGCGCACACAGCGAGUGCCCGAGCUGCAGUGUAUCCGCAAUCCAGAGAUCUGAUGUCAUCGCCUCCCAGGCAGUUCUCCAGUGUGCAGGCGCAGCCAUCUGUGCAGCAGAUCAUUUGUUACCCCUGUAGGCCUCCGACACCGACCACCAACAAACCACCGGCCAGCUCCAAGUAGGGCGAGGCACAAGAAUUCUCAGUACAGGACACCAGAAACACUCCAGUAAAAAAAGAGGUGCACAGAGGACAUAUGGAUCUAAGAAGCUACCUUUAGGAAGUCACAGUAAUCUUUAUUUGUCUGGAUUGGGAACAAAGCAGUUAAGGAAACAAGUAAAGCCAGUGUUUUCCAGAAGCUCUUCUGUCCCGCUUACAGCUCCCUGUGCGAGUUUCUGUAGUACUUCUCAACCUCACAGCUCAAAGGGCAGUAGGGAAGAGCAUGAUGCUCCUGGAAGCAAAAGUCAACAGCCAGUUCAAUUAUGCCAAUUAAUUUAUGCAAAUGCAGAGCUUGCUCACAUGCCCCUCCCAAACCUGAGCUGGCAAACGAGUGUAAGAGCUACAGCACGAGUAGAGUGGUACUUCAGCCGAGUUGACAGAGGGCACAGGAGCCUCCUGGCACAUGGAAACCAACAAGAACCCCCAGCUUAAACAAGCAACAGCUGUCUUUGGAUCUACAACUCUAUAUCCAGAGAAGAACUUUAAUUUCUUUGUUCAGCAACAUCAGAAAAACAUCAACAGCUUCAGUGAAGAGGUGGACUGCUGUGAGCUCUAUCAAUACCCUCAUUCUAUGCUUCUGAGAUGCAUAUUGGGAAUCUGUGUGACACUUUUGAAACGUAAGCUAAACAGAUUUUUUUCAUUAGCUGCAACAUAAAGUUCACUCACAUGGUUCAUGUAAGUACAACUAUAAGGCAAAAAUAACUGAGAAAGAGGGAUUUGAUCUUACCCGAGUUGCACAGAUGUACCUCUUGACUUCUGCUUAUACAAUUUAAUAACAGGAGGAAUUUGAUUACCAAAGAUCAAAUAUGAUAUGCAAAAUGCAUAUACUUGAUGCUGAUUCAAAUACAACAAUUCUUAGGCCAGACAUUCUCACACAGCUGGAGAAAAGCUAUUGCAGCUACACCCACUAGCCUGGUUCAAACUGGGGAAGGGCUGGGAGAACUGAAAGAGAAAGCUGUGCUGAACAAUAAAUGCUGGAGGAGAUGCCCUACAAAUUCAUCCUAUGAAAAUUCCCUUCAAAUAUAUCACCCAAAUGAAGUAAAUGAAUUGUGGGGGACUGGCUUGUGGAGAAUAAUAAGCAAACCCCUUAACAAUAGUGAUGUAGUGGGUAGGGGUUGUACUGAGAUUCCCGAGGACCUUAAAAUUGUUGAGAAAUAUUCCUUCCCAGGUCCUUGUGACUCCAAACCACGAAAUAGAUUCCUGAUUAUUUGCUGGGUGUUUCUGAAAGCAGUAGAUGGUUAAAAAAUACCAAAGAACACCAAACAAACAAAACCUCAUAGUUACAAAGAACUGGUGGAUCUAACAGGUGCUGCUAUAAAACUGUACAGCAUUGAAUAUUCCAACAUCCAACAACAAAUAAGAAAUGUUCUGGCUUAGAACAAGGAAUUCCUCCUACCAGUAAAGACACAAAUUCUACUGCACUAUUCCAGGUCUCAAGAUUGAUAAUGGAGAUACCUUUUUUGUUUUGUUUCAUUCCCACAAAAAAAAAAAAAAAAAAAAAAAAGCCACUUGCAAAAAAUAAAAGGCCCAAAAAAAAAAAGCAGAAAUUGGCUUUAUCAUAUGUGGAAGUGAACUUGAAUAAAAGGGCCAUUGCAACCACUCCUAUAAUCAAAAAAAGGAUGUUUCUGGUGUUGUGGGUGUGAACUUCUCAAAACAAAAGCAGCAAUUCUCAGAGAGGGAUGUUGGUAAGAGCUUAGUAAGCAACUCGAAUAUGUUUCUAAAAAGCAUGGCCACUCUGGAACAAUGUAAAAUAAUAGUUUUGAACACUGAGGUGAAAAUUUGUUAUAGUGGUCAAGUCUAUGCUUUGUUCAUGAAUAUAAAAGGGAGGCAAAACCAAUGGACUGGGAGUACCAGUAUGCUCUGCUUUACCAGGAUUCCCAAGGCAUGUCAUGGUUGGACACCUGCUGGAUACUUUUAAGUUUUUUAACUUUUAAGUUACAAAACUUAAAAGGACAAUCCUAUGAGACAAAUUCAAGGCAAAUUAAAAAGGCACAAACAAGGGAAUGGGUGCAGCUUGUGCUGCAGGAGUGAUCUCUGCAGCUGUGUCUCAUUGGGAUGGUAACAAGGGUGAGCAGGUAGCCAUGGGUCACUCAACAAAGAGCCACAGGCUUUGCAGGGUUGUGACAGCCAUCCCGAGCUCCUCUGAGUGCUUCCUAGCAAAAAUCAAUCUGUGUCUUUCUUAGAAGCUGUGGGGAGAUGCUUCUUGUUCCUUUCUUCUGCAGUUGUUGUGAUUCCCUAUUUGUUUUGUUAAUUCAUUAAUAGCAUCAGCCCAGAAAACAGUGUGUUGUUGGAACUGUUACAAUCCCUCUGGUCUUAGCCUGCCUCUAGUCAUGAUACUCAAAAUGCAGUGACACAGAAGGAAGCCUACAUCAAGUCAAACAAGCAAGCAAUUAGAAACAAGCUUGCCAUUGGCAGCCAGCUGAGAGAAAAAACAAGCUCCCUGACAAAACAAGAAAGCCUCACCAUUUUAUUCACAUCCAAGCUUUCAGAGGCAGUCUAUGUGCUGACCUGUAUUUUUUUUUUUUUUUACUUAGCUGAUACCUUUCCCUUAAAGAUGCAGUGCUGCAGCUAUCAGACAUUUUAGGAUGCACCACUUCCACAGCAGAAGGAAUUUAACAACUGAACACUUCAUGUUCUUUAAUACACAUUUACGAAGAACUAUUCAUUGAUGGCUAAAUGUUUAUUCCGUUCAAGUGCUGUAGGGAAGACUCAGAAACUAUCAGCCAAGGACCUGGGCCAUUAACACAGGUAUCUGUGUUUAGCAGAGUUAAUAGGCAUUAUUUUAACCUAAUCUGAACAAGGAGUCUAGUUUUUCCCAAACACAGAGCAGUGAUAGAAAUGGGAAAAUGAAAUAACAUUUUUUUUUCACCCUUAUUUUCUAGUUAAACUACAAGGAGAAUUACUUAAUGGUUUAUUGAGUGUUUCAGUGCUUGUUCAAAGUUAAGCACUUAAGCACCUACCACUGGCCAGGACAGGAGACUGGUCCCACAACACUGUUAGCAUAAGGGAGCAGCAAAGGGGCUGCUGCAGGGGAAAAGGUGAGCCAGGGAGGUACAGGCAAGGCAGACAAAGAAGUGGUACCAACUACAAGAAAGAGUCCCACAGUACCUGAAUGAGGAGAACAGGGCCACCAGCAGCAAGAAGGGUGAGGCCUUGAGCAGCAGCCAGCUGCAGCAAGGAGCAGGCCCAAGGGCAAAGCAGGCAGCCAGCAGGGCAGACACAGAUCAGGGAUCAGCAAAAGACCAGCUCUCAUGCUUGAGAGAAGCUCCUGAGGCACAGCAGAGAAAGCUCAAGUGGAAAUUCUCCCCACCUGGCUGUUUUUCAGCAGCCUGAUGGGGCUCACACAGGUGCAGCACAUCAGGGCUGAGCCAGCCCUUGGGACAGUGAGGCUGCAGAGCUGGAGGGGGCCCUCAACCCCUCACAGUUACUGUCACCACACCACUUGUCCCAGUGGUCACAAACAGCUGAGGCCCUAACCCUCUUGGGGCAGCAGGACUCCUCCAGCAGGAUAGUGAUGCUGACAGACUGAACAAAUGAUCAACAGAGGCAAGAAAAAUUAUAUCUGUUGCUUGGACUGCUGUAUUGGAAAUGAACUCAAGGGUCUGGAUAGAAAAAAAGUGAAAUUCAGCAGAUCAGCCAGCAAUAAUGGGGGAAAGAAAAGCACUAUGGCCUUCCUCUGGUCUAAAAGGUAUGACCUAGUGAGUCUUGCUACUCUUGCAGUUUCAUAUUCUAUUAUUACCACGAUUUUCAAGAGCAAUAAUUCUUUGUAGUUAGGAGAGUUAAUAUUAUCUAUCUUGCCAGGAUUGCAAUUGUUCUUAGGUGGAAUCCAGAGCUAUGCAUUUAGCUCCAUCAGUGAGUGAUGGAAUAGUGCAGGUUAAUGCUCUGGAUGGGGAUAUUGAGGUUUGGCCCUGGAAUCCUACUGCUGUCAACUGCUGAAUCCCAGCCUGUGGAUGAUACCUCAAAGGAGUGUAUCCCAGAAACUAGACAAGACUGGUAAAACUCUGGGUGUUGAGUGUCAAGUAAGUUCCUUGCCUAAGAGCCAGAGCAGUAUGAGAGGGAGCUGGGAGGGGUUGAGAGUUUUCAGAGUUUGGCAGAGGAUGUGAUACAGGGAGGUGUGUAUGAGAAUGUGGACAUGGUGGGAAUUUGCUGGAUGUUAUUUCAGUCUGUUGGCUUGGUUCAGCACAGAAGGUGUUCCUGGCAGUAAACUGAAGAAGGAAUUGGGCAUUUUACAAGCAAUGUAACAGCAGGCUGAGGGUGAGAAUGAAGAUGUUUUGCCUUGGAGUGAAGUCAGGUUGUGGAUUCAAUGUGUGCAAGGAAUUACAGUCCAGAGCUGGCUACUGAGUGUCUGCUGGGAGGCAGAAGGGCCUUGUAGAGCUGCAUGGUAACAUGGAGAUGUACUUGGGCCAUGUGGGAACAGUGCCAAGUGGGGAAUGAACUGCUUGGUGAGGACCACAAGAGCUAAAUGAGGAUUUGGAGUCAAGACCCAAAUUCCUGUAUUUUGUGUGUACAGUAAUUUUGUGUUGGGCUGGAAAGACUGAAGGGAUUAAUGAAGUGAACCAGGAACUAAAAUAUACAGGUGGAACUCCUUGAUUAGUUUCACAUGGGCAACUCUAAGUGAACACAGACGAUGAAGUGGGAAAAUGAAGCAGCCCUGUCAGUUUCCCAAAACGCCAAACACAGAAGCAGGGAGAGUGCUGCUGGAUAGUGUUGCAACACAGGAUCUGGAAGUCUGUGGAAUGGCCGUGGUGCUUACAUACAAAAUAAAACAAGUUCCCUCUA